rnacentral:tRNA from 1 species
GGUCUCGUAGUGUAGCAGUUAACACGCCUGCCUGUCACGCAGGAGAUCGCGGGUUCGAUUCCCGUCGAGACCGCCA